rnacentral:rRNA from 1 species
CCUACGGGUGGCAGCAGUAGGGAAUUUUGCGCAAUGGGCGAAAGCCUGACGCAGCAACGCCGCGUGAUUGAUUAAGCUCUUCGGGGGGUAAAGAUCUGUCAGUGGGGACGAAACUUGACGGUACCCACAGACGAAGCACCGGCUAACUCCGUGCCAGCAGCCGCGGUAAUACGGAGGGUGAAAGCGUUGUCCGGAAUCAUUGGGCGGAAAGAGUACGUAGGUGGCAGAUUAAGUCUGGGGUUAAAUGCAGAAGCUCAACUUCUGUUCGGCACUGGAUACUGGUAAGCUUGAAUGCGGUAGAGGAUAAGGGAAUUACUGGUGUAGCAGUGAAAUGCGUAGAUAUCUGGAGGAACAUCGGUGGCGUAAGCGAUUUUCUGGGCCGUAAUUGACACUGAGGAGCGAAAGCCUGGGUAGCAAAUGGGAUUAGAUACCCGAGUAGUC